GACGAACGCUGGCGGCGUGCCUAACACAUGCAAGUCGAACGGCAAGGCCCUGAUUUUGUGGGGUUCUUGAGUGGCGAUCGGGUGAGUAACACGUGUGUAACCUGCCCUUGUCUUUCGGAUAACUUCAGGAAACUGCGGCUAAUAUCGGAUAGGAGCUCCUGCUGCAUGGUGGGGGUUGGAAAGUUUCGGCGGUUGGGGAUAGACUAGCGGCUUACCCGCUUGUUGGUGGGGUAGUGGCUUACCAAGGCUUUGAAGGGUAGCAGGCAUGGGAGGGGGGACGGCGACAAGAGGACUAAGAGACGGCCCAGACUCCUACGUGAGGCAGCAGGGGCAAAUAUGACACAGUGGGCGGAAGCCGGAGGCAGCAGCGCCGCGUGCGGAAAGACGGCCUGCGGGUGAAAAACCGCUGUCGCCUGUGACGAAGCGUGAGUGACGGUAACGAAUAAAGAAGCACCGGCUAACUACGUG
rnacentral:rRNA from 1 species